rnacentral:lncRNA from 1 species
UCCAAUACUCCCAUUAAGAAUAUCAAUUUCAUAUUCAAAACAAUUCUUUUUUUUAAAAAAAAAUAUAGCACGCAGCCUGUUUCAUUCAUUUAAAAAAUGAACUAAGUUAUAAGGGUGAGGCAUCACUGAUUUCGGUUGUGGGGAAACGAAACGGUGCGAAAAAAAAAAAUAGCGAUGACAUUUGUGUCUCUCCACUAAGCGAAGGUACUCCCAUUAGUUUGUCAGUUGUUUAAUCUUGAAGGCAAGGAUUUAAGUGCCGUGGUACGGAAUCGUACCGGAAACUUACCGGCACGGUAUGGCACGGUGUGUGCCGAGCCGUGCCGAUACGUGCCAAUCAAAAAAAAUUUUGUGUGCCAACACAUAAUAGUAUGAAAUAUUUAUUUUCUUCAGCAACAAAACAUUCUAACUAUUUAUUAUGUCUUUUUAUAACAUCUUUUGAGUUUUAUUGAGAAAAUUACUUACUAAUUUAUAAAAUAGAGGAUUUUGAACUGUGCCUUUGAUACGAGGUCUGUAUCGUGCCGGUAUCUUGUUGGCACGAUACGGCACGGUGGAUACGGCCCGUGCCGACGGACACUUAAAACCUUACGCUCCAACACACAGGUCUAUUCGGAUUAUCUGAAAGAUCAUACUAUUCAUGAUCUCCUAAAUGACCUACCAGCAGGCUAUUAGUCCAACAAGUCUAUUAUCGAUUACGUCCCCUUCCUUCCAAUAAGCCCGUUACUCAUCAAUACAAUU